UCAAUUUAUAAGAGGAACGGUACCUGAAAUGAAGAAGAAGAAAAAGGGAUUCUGUUUUCUAAUGAUGCACAUCAAAUUUAUUGGAACGGCAAACAAAUUAAGAAAUGUAUCAGCAUUGAUGUGCAAAACCAUUUUUGUGAUUGAUAAUUCAAGUCAUUGGCACAUACAGACAUCUGAUGGUGAUGCGGAGUUUUACCCUUGGUCGAAAGAGAAGCAGUAUGGGAACGACGAGUGUUUUAACAUACAUCGACGCCACUGAUGUUCCAACGUACAUGAAUUGGACAAUUGGACACAGAGAGCGUUUGUAACUGUGCGUGGACAGUUAUCUGCUCACUUAUGGCAUUCCGGAGCGGAGUUGCUGUUGACAGGUUGGGUGAGAGAGGAGGAAUCUGUGCUAUGUUUGGAGACAAUGUUGCGCAGUGAAGGCCAACACACAGCUACGGAGUCAUGCCACCGAGGGGCUUCGAACCCUGAACGGCUCAUCCCGGUAUUGACACCUCCGUGUGAGACACCUGGACGAAUGCCUUUGGAAGAUACACUGCCCUCAAAUUUGGCAUUAAUUGCAGUAUUUCCAGCAAUUUUGACCUUGUGUGGAUGUUGUUGGAUUCCUUGUCUGCGUGCUCUCAUUGUGAAACUUAAAACGGUUACGUCACCCACAAACGAACAGGUGGCGGAGACAUAUCCCUUAAUGGUGAAGAAUGACAGUGACGACAAUGAUUUUCUAUCUGGGUGCAUUUGUUUUCAUAUUAGAAGUUGCUACACGAUGUAAAGCUUUGAAUUGUGCAAAUACAUAAACAGGAGGGAAAUGUUAGAGUUUUGGUUAAUAUAUUUAUUAUGGACUUGCAACAAAGCCAAAGUAUCAUCCUUGCUUCGAAGAGUCUUGUUCACAGGACGAGCUCCUACACACAGUUGCAACAGUAUCUUCCUAGAAGUGGCCAAGGACAACUCCAUCAUAACCAAAGAAUGUCACAUCACCAAAAACGCAAGUUAGGUGAUAAACCUAACACUAAUCCCCACUGAACCUGGGCCGUGAGGACCGCAGGUUCGCCAGUCUGCCGCCCUAUUUCCGCUGCACCUCGGGAUUUGCGGACCCCUGCUCCGUAUGGGAUGGAAGUUUCGCCAUCAGCUCCGGGUCUGCUGGCUUGGUCAUUGCUGGUGAGGAGUGGAUGAACAAUGGCUGUGUCUUGGUCGCCGCGCAGCGAGAGCCACAAGGGGGCACUCUGCUUGGGCGUCUCAUCUGGCCGCCACGCAGAGGACCCAGACAGAUCACCUCCACAUGGGAGACCAUGUCUUCCUCAAAGUGCUGAGACGACCUCGCUGGGACGGCCCCCACCAGGUGAUUGCAGUGACUCCUACGGCUGUAAAGGUCCAGGGACGUGACGGCUGGAUCCACCAGUCGCAGUGCAAGCUCCUCCGAUUCUCUGCUGAUGGGCCGAGCGUACACAUCAGUGUACCGACGAAAGACCACAGUUGAAGAGAGGGUUCUCGGGAAGAUGGAGCGGACCACCGGCCAGAGCCUGACCGCAGUCCUGUCAACCAUAUAUGCUGUUUACUUUCUUGCAGGGCUGUGCCUGAUGGCAGGUGGUGCACAACCUCACGGCAAGGAAAGCACCAACACGGAACAGUUGCCUAGUCGUAGACUGUUAUCUACGUCCACUCUGGGAAACCUACGGCUCCUGAUGGACAGAACGGGGACGAUGAUUAAUGUAACUUCCCUUUCUCAAGAACUUUCCAUUACCAUCCCGCUGGACCAAUUACAGUCCCGCCAGACAAGGUUUAGCAAAAUCUUAGCGGUUCCUGACUAUUUGGGUGCAGAUUUAGAAGAGCAAUAUACUGAAGUAACUAAAAUGAGUCAGUGGCAAGAUUAUUGGUUUUAUCUAAUGAGUGCCCAUGAUGCAGAUGAUGAAAAAUGGUUGUCUUAAUCGAAUUAUGUCACUUCUGUUGAUGGUGAUUAUUGGUCAAAUCCACAUAAGAAUCAGGGAGCUUCAAAUUGGCACAGCAAAAUAUCUAUCAAAGUGACAAGCUCUGAUGAACCCACCAUAAGCAUUUUAGACAUAGAGCAACUAUGUCUAAAAUGCUUGGUUGCUCUCUGAAUUUUCAAAUUUACUGCAGAUUGAUUUUUGUCAGCUUUGUGUGAAGUAAUAACUUCCACACCAUUUUUAACAUAAUUUUUGGUUCAAGUCCUAUACACUAAAAUAGUCGAGUCGGCGCCUUUUCAAGUCAGUCCCGUCUGAUUUAGUCAUUCUGUGUGGUGUUGUCUCAUAAUGUGAAGGUAGUAGUAAAUCAGUGUUUUUUGUUGUUUUUUUUUUCCUUUUAUUUUUCUCUACUACCUCUUGUCUUUUUGUGUCUCGUGUCCUUUCAUCAUCUUCCUUUCUAUGGAACAACAGAUCUUCCUCUCCACUUUCUUUAUCUUUCUUUUUCUGACUCCUUCUGAACAUUUUGUUAUCAACUGUUCUGUACUGCUCCAUAACUCAAGUCUCUACUGAGGUCAAAAGAAGCGUUUGCGAGGACAGCAGCGCCUGCCCCACAUGCUGAGAGCUUUUUGUCAUUUACAUUUCACUAAUAUUCUCUCUGCCCUGGACACUUUUCUUCCAAGUCAAAUGAUCAAUUUUCUUUUCCCCCAUCGAAUUUUAUCCCUUUAACACAUUACGUGUUAGGGAACCCUUUGAAUCCAUUUGCUAAAUUCAGGAGCACAGUGAACCACAUACAAUACUACUUUUAAAUCUCUCUCUCUCUUUCUUUCUUUUCCUUUUGUAAUCACCAUUGGGUAUCAUCAUACCCAUCUUUGGCCAUUUUAUUAAGGUCACCUUUUAUUUCUACAAUUUAUCGUCUCUCAACAGGAUUAUUAUUAUUAUUAUUAUUAUAUGUUUUUUUUCUUUUAGUUAUUUGCUCAUUUAUAUAUAUUUAUUUUCCGAAUUAGGGUGGUCAGUAAAGUUGUAUCUUUCUAAUUCAUCUAAUUAAUCAUUAAGCUAAUUCAUUUAUCUUAAUAUUUUAGCUUAUCUAGGGUUUGUGCCUCGACGAGUUUCCAAUCCAUGCAAGUGGAUUUAUUUCUUCCCUUUUGUUUACUGCUACUAUUCCCCAUUUUGAGAAUUUGGAGCCAACACACUACACCUAUCGUGUACUAAGGUCGGCUUUUGUAUUAGACAGUGUGACUGUGAAAUAUUCUCGCUUAGUAUUUCUCAAGCUUCGACCCAGCAGGGCGGAGAAAUCUUACCUGUGCUUCUAAACGAGCUGUCACUUGAGAUCCUGUCUCUCACGCAAUCGUUUACACAGAGACUCACACUCUUUUUUUUCCUUUUUCUCUUUUCUUUUCUGUUACGGCAGUUUAAUUUUGUUAUUGUAUUGUAUCGAUUUGUUACUGACAUACUAAACUAUUGUGUAACGCGGAAUUUAAGUACGUACACGAGUCCGCCCUCGUUUAUUUUCACAACUUUAAAACUACAGUUUACUUCCUGCUUCUUCUCGAAAACAAAUCCCUCAAUAGGAUUUUCAUGGCGGGAGUUACAAAAAGCCAUAUACAUCAAAAACGUUUGGGGUGAAAAAACGGCUGCGUCCAUACCAGCUGCCGUUUUUUCAUGAAUAACAUAUUAAAAAUCAUGCAUUUCAUGACAGUGGACUUUUAAAGAUGC